GUCAUGUUUUUUUGCAGGUUACAUUUCACAGGUAUUAAAAAAUUACACUGAUCAUGCCUGUGAUGGAGAAUAUGUUUCCCUGAGGUGCCCCCACAGAACUACCAUCAGCAUCCAGUCUUCUUUCUAUGGCAGAAUUGUACCAAGUCAUCAGAUGUGUCCUUCUCGCUCUCCCCGCUCCUUUGCAACCUUAAUUAAGGAAGAUGUUGCCUGUUCAGUUGGCACUUCCCUUCAGAAGAUGCUGGAUGAGUGUCAGGACAGACGGAGCUGCCGGUUCCUUGUUCACAGCCGGCUGUUUGGUGUGGAUCCGUGCCCUGAAACAGCCAAAUACCUCCUCGUGUGGUACAAGUGCAGGCCAAGUUGCCCAGGAACACAGAGAGAACCUGUUCUCCACUGAUCAAACUCAUGGGAAGUUUUGAGGAGUUUGAAGCCAAAGCCCUGCCUUGGCCAGAAUGAAGUAUUC
rnacentral:lncRNA from 1 species